rnacentral:tRNA from 3 species
GCGGGUGUCGUAUAAUGGUUAUUACCUCAACCUUUCAGGUUGAUGAUGUGGGUUCGAUUCCCGCUACUCGCU